ACACAUGCAGUCGAACGAUGAUGCCAGCUUGCUGGGUGGAUUAGUGGCGAACGGGUGAGUAACACGUGAGUAACCUGCCCCUGACUCUGGGAUAAGCGUUGGAAACGACGUCUAAUACUGGAUAUGACUGCCGGCCGCAUGGUCUGGUGGUGGAAAGAUUUUUUGGUUGGGGAUGGACUCGCGGCCUAUCAGCUUGUUGGUGAGGUAAUGGCUCACCAAGGCGACGACGGGUAGCCGGCCUGAGAGGGUGACCGGCCACACUGGGACUGAGACACGGCCCAGACUCCUACGGGAGGCAGCAGUGGGGAAUAUUGCACAAUGGGCGAAAGCCUGAUGCAGCAACGCCGCGUGAGGGAUGACGGCCUUCGGGUUGUAAACCUCUUUUAGUAGGGAAGAAGCGAAAGUGACGGUACCUGCAGAAAAAGCACCGGCUAACUACGUGCCAGCAGCCGCGGUAAUACGUAGGGUGCAAGCGUUGUCCGGGAAUUAUUGGGCCGUAAAGAGCUCGUAGCGGUUUGUCGCGUCUGCUUGUGAAAUCCCGAGGCUCACUCGGGC
rnacentral:rRNA from 1 species